UUAUUCAUAUCCUGCUAUACUCACCAAAAGAAGGAGUGUUGUAGAAUCGUAGGAUAUCCUGAAGGGAUCCACAAGGAUCAUUGAAGUCUAACUCCUGUCCCUGCACAGGAUCAACCCAAGAAUCACACUAUGUAGUACCAUAUUGAGUGGUACCAUACACAGUAUCAACUUCAUUGCCACAGGUUCAUAUACAGCAUACAGGAUGCUUCACACACAGGCUGAAAGGAGAAGAAAGCUCUGGUGACUGGAACAGAGUCAGUUGCUUCACAAAAAGGGAGAACAGUGAAGAGAUAGAGAGUAUCUAUCCUGUGCCUCAUAACUGAUGUUAGCAUUCUUUGUAUAAUUGAUCAUCUAGAAGAAAAUAAAAUAAAUAAAUAAAAAAAAAAA